rnacentral:rRNA from 1 species
GCUUGUCUCAAAGAUUAAGCCAUGCAUGUCUAAGUAUAAGCAUUAUACAGUGAAACUGCGAAUGGCUCAUUAUAUCAGUUAUAGUUUAUUUGAUAGUCAAUACUACUUGGAUAACCGUAGUAAUUCUAGAGCUAAUACAUGCGUAAAGUCCCGACUUCUGGAAGGGAUGUAUUUAUUAGAUACAACCAGCCCGCAAGGUCUUUGGUGAAUCAUAAUAACUGAGCGAACCGCAUGCGCAAGCGGCGGUGGUUCAUUCAAGUUUCUGCCCUAUCAGCUUUCGAUGGUAGGGUAUUGGCCUACCAUGGCGUUAACGGGUAACGGAGAAUUAGGGUUCGAUUCCGGAGAGGGAGCCUGAGAGAUGGCUACCACAUCCAAGGAAGGCAGCAGG